rnacentral:rRNA from 1 species
CAGUUCGGACUGCAGUCUGCAACUCGACUGCACGAAGCUGGAAUCGCUAGUAAUCGCGGAUCAGCACGCCGCGGUGAAUACGUUCCCGGGCCUUGUACACACCGCCCGUCACACCAUGGAAGUCUGCAAUGCCCGAAGCCGGUGGCCUAACCACUUAUGUGGAAGGAGCCGUCUAAGGCAGGGCAGAUGACUGGGGUGAAGUCGUAACAAGGUACC